CGAGCACGCGCGUGUGGCAUAUCAAUAAGCGGAGGAAAAGAAACUAACAAGGAUUCCCUUAGUAACGGCGAGUGAAGCGGGAAGAGCUCAAAUUUGAAAUCUUCAAGGUUCUACCUUGACGAAUUGUAGUUUAUAGAAGUGUUUUCUGUUAGUAGAGUGGCAAAAGUUCUUUGGAAUAGGACAUCAUAGAGGGUGAGAAUCCCGUAUUUGGUCAUUCCUCCUAGCGUUGUGAUACACUUUCAACGAGUCGGAUUGUUUGGGAAUGCAGUCCAAAAUGGGUGGUAAAUUUCAUCUAAAGCUAAAUAUUGGCGAGAGACCGAUAGCGAACAAGUACCGUGAGGGAAAGACGAAAAGAACUUUGAAAAGAGAGUUAAACAGUACGUGAAAUUGUCAAAAGGGAAGCGUUUGACACCAGUGUUGUUUUUCCGAAAAUCAAUUACGAAUGUUUUAGUUUUUAAGGAGUUAUGACUUCAUCGGCUUGCUCCUUUCUUUAUGAAACUUUCUUAAUGCACUUUUCGGUUAACAAGUCAACAUCAAUUUCUUUUGUUGUAAAAGGGUAUGAGGAAGGUGGCUUUCUUUUCGGAGAAAGUGUUUAUAGCCUUGUGCCUCUGCAAUCGGAGAGAUUGAGGUCUGCAGCGUAGAUCCUUCGGGGUUAGAUACGUUUGUGCUAAGUUAUAGCUUUUCAUAGACAACUUGUUGACUAUGUUUAGUCUUGUAGCUUACUCGCUGACGCUAUUUUACCUACGCUUAGGAUGUUGAUGUGAUACUGCGAGCA
rnacentral:rRNA from 1 species